AACGAACGCUGGCGGCAGGCCUAACACAUGCAAGUCGAACGAGAAAUCACCCUUCGGGGUGAGAGUAGAGUGGCGCACGGGUGAGUAACGCGUGGGAACCUACCUUGGAGUACGGAAUAACUCAGGGAAACUUGGGCUAAUACCGUAUACGCCCUUCGGGGGAAAGAUUCAUCGCUCUGGGAUGGGCCCGCGUUAGAUUAGCUAGUUGGUGGGGUAACGGCCUACCAAGGCUACGAUCUAUAGCUGGUUUGAGAGGAUGAUCAGCCACACUGGGACUGAGACACGGCCCAGACUCCUACGGGAGGCAGCAGUGGGGAAUAUUGGACAAUGGGCGCAAGCCUGAUCCAGCAAUGCCGCGUGUGUGAAGAAGGCCUGCGGGUUGUAAAGCACUUUUAUCGGGAAAGAAAUCCCAGGGUUAAUACCCCUGGGCCUUGACGGUACCCGAAGAAUAAGCACCGGCUAACUCCGUG
rnacentral:rRNA from 1 species